UCAGUUCACCAAACCGGCAGAAAUCUAACCUCAGCUAAUGUUUUUGUUAGCUGUUUGGCUUAGCAAAUUGAAAGAGCUCAUCACAGAAGCUGACAAGUGCCAGGAAGUGAUAGAAAGGCAGGACUGCAGCAGCGGCUGUUAGCCUGCCUUCAGCUGCCAAGGAAGCAAAGCCUGGAAAGAGACAUCCCAUCUCUGAUGUACAAAGACUGGAAAAAUCUCCCCCUGAAAAAAAAAAAGGCAUAAAAACGAGAAUUUCAGUGACCUGGUUCCUGAUCUUGCAGAGUAUUUGGCAAUAUUUCAAACUCGCUAGUGGAAAGCUGGUCUAUGGGAUGAAGGCCUGGGGACAGCUGCACCAGAUACCCUGAGAGGAAGAACAAUCGCUUCUCAUUUAAAUGCUUGAUGGCUGAGGGAACUGGGAGACAAAUAUCUUAGAAGAUGGUAUUCUAGGGAAAUUCUAAAAUGAAGUUUUAAAUUGGAAAAUCAAUAUUUAUAAGGGCCCUUAGAAAAAUGCAUCAGAAUCUAUGCAGUCUGAGAUUAUAUUAUGGGCCCUACUUAAACAUAAAUUGAAGUUAACUAAAUUGAGAUCUUUUUGUUGGUUGAAAGGGUUGUUGCAUUUCAGUCUUCCUGUGUAUAAUGGUUCAUCAGGUAGUCACUUGAGACUUGACAGACUGAGGCAGAAAGCUUCAAGAAGCAUGCAGGAGCAUGUUUGCUUCUCCACUGGAGUGUUGUUCCAGUCUCAGUGAAAGAAAAAUCAGUUAUCUGUUACACAUAAGGUAACUCUGCUGACUCAUCCCUUGGGCAGCUUUGUGCAAGAUACCUUCCUGUUAAAAAGCCAGUAAUGAAAAAAUUUAUUUUUAAAUUUGAGGAAUUGUAAGGAUUUGGUUAGGGAGAAAGCAAAUUCAGUUGCAAAUUUAGAGAAAUUAAAAUUGCA